rnacentral:rRNA from 1 species
UACGGAGGGUGCAAGCGUUGCUCGGAAUUAUUGGGCGUAAAGGGUAGGUAGGUGGUCUUAUUUGUCUGGGGUGAAAGCCUUGAGCUUAACUCAAGAAGUGCCCCAGAAACGGUAAGACUAGAGUCCUGGAGAGGGUCGUGGAAUUCCCGGUGUAGCGGUGAAAUGCGUAGAGAUCGGGAGGAACACCAGAGGCGAAAGCGGCGACCUGGACAGGCACUGACACUCAACUACGAAAGCGUGGGGAGCAAACAGG